AUUGAACGCUAGCGGGAUGCUUUACACAUGCAAGUCGAACGAGUGGCGGACGGGUGUGUUAUAUAUCGGAACGUGCCCACUAGCGGGGGAUAACUACUCGAAAGAGUGGCUAAUACCGCAUACUCUUGGGGCGGCCGCUAUCGGAUUAGCUGGUUGGUGGGGUAAAGGUUCACAAGGGCAACGAUCCGGAGCUGGUUUGAGGGGACGACCAGCCACACUGGGACUGGGGCACGGCCCAGACGCCCACGGGAGGCAGCAGUGGGGAAUUUUGGACAAUGGGGGAAAUCCUGAUCCAGCCAUCCCGCGUGUAUGAGAAGGCCUUCGGGUUGUAAAGUACUUUUGGCAGAGAAGCGGUAUCUGCAGAAUAAGCACCGGCUAACUACGUGCCAGCAGCCGCGGUAAUUC
rnacentral:rRNA from 1 species